UUAAGCUAGAAAGAGCACAGGGUGAAUGCCUAGACACUGGGAGCCGAUGAAGGACGUGAUAAGCUGCGAAAAGAUACGGGGAGCCGCAAAUAGGCUACGAUCCGUAUAUAUCCGAAUGGGGAAACCUCACUAUUUGAAGAAUAGUGACCAUUAUGUGAAUACAUAGCAUAAUGGAGGGAACCGCCUGAACUGAAACAUCUAAGUAGGGCGAGGAAGAGAAAUCAACCGAGAUUUCGCUAGUAGCGGCGAGCGAACGCGAAAGAGGCUAAACCGCAGGUAGUAAUACGUGCGGGGUUUUGGACGACAAACGCUACAUGGAACUAUAACAGAAUUGCAUGGGAAGGCAAACCAGAGAGAGUGAGAGUCUCGUACGUGAAAUGGUGAAGUGAGCAGUCGAAUCCGGAGUAGUGCGGAACACGAGGAAUUCCGUAUGAAGAUAGGGGGACCACCCUCUAAGCCUAAAUACUACCCAGUGAGCGAUAGCGAAGCAGUACCGUGAGGGAAAGGUGAAAAGCACCCCGGGAGGGGAGUGAAAUAGAACCUGAAACCUUGUGUUUACAAGCACUCAAAGCACAUCAAGGUGCGAUGAGGUACUUUUUGUAGAACGGUCCGGCGAGUUAUGGUAUGCAGCCAUGGUUAAGUACUUAAAGGUACGGAGCCCAAGGGAAACCGAGUGUAAAAAGCGCGAAUGUUGCAUGCUAUAGACCCGAAACCGGGUGACCUAUCCAUGAGCAGGUUGAAGUGAAGGUGAAACUUCAUGGAGGACCGAACCGACCCUCGUUGAAAAGAUGGCGGAUGACUUGUGGAUAGCGGAGAAAUUCCAAUCGAACUCGGAUAUAGCUGGUUCUCCCCGAAAUAGCUUUAGGGCUAGCCUCAUGAGCGCGAAUGCGCAAAUUAUUACCGGAGGUAAAGCACUGACCGGACUAGGGGUCGAGAGAUUACCGAAUCCUAUCAAACUAAGAAUGCCGGAUAAUAAAGAAUGGGAGUCAGACUGUGUGAGAUAAGUCUCACAGUCAAAAGGGAAACAGCCCAGACCUACAGCUAAGGUCCCUAAUGUAUGUUAAGUGGAAAAGGAUGUGGAAUUGCGAAAACAACCAGGAUGUUGGCUUAGAAGCAGCCACACAUUAAAAGAGUGCGUAAUAGCUCACUGGUCGAGUGAUUCUGCGCCGAAGAUGUAACGGGGCUAAACAUACAACCGAAGCUUGGGAUGUAGAAAUACGUGGUAGGGGAGCGUUCUGUGGUAGGGUGAAGCGACAGCGAAAGCGGUCGUGGACAAAGCAGAAGUGAGAAUGCCGGAAUGAGUAGCGAGAAUUAUGUGAGAAUCAUAAUGGCCGAAAGUCUGAGGUUUCCGGGGGCAGGUUCGUCCGCCCCGGGUAAGCCGGAGCUAAGGUGAGGCCGAAAGGCGUAACCGAUGCACAUACGGUAGAAAUUCCGUAGCCAUCGAAAUUGUUAAGUAAGAGGACGCUUGCAGAUAGCAUAACCCCGCCGUUGGUUGAGUGGGGCGAAAGGGACCGAAAUCUAGUAGGGAAGUAUGCGAUGCUGUGAGACGAGAAAAGUCUUAUGUAUUGAUGAGAUGACCGUACCGCAAACCGACACAGGUAGACGAGGAGAGAAUCCUAAGGCCAGCGAGAGAAAGGUUGUUAAGGAACUCGGCAAAUUGAACCCGUAACUUAGGGAUAAGGGUUGCUCACGGAAGUGAGUCGCAGUGAAAAGGCCCAGGCGACUGUUUAGCAAAAACACAGGUCUCUGCUAAAUCGAAAGAUGAUGUAUAGGGGCUGACGCCUGCCCAGUGCUGGAAGGUUAAGGAGAGAUGUCAGAGCAAUCGAAGCAUUGACCCGAAGCCCCAGUGAACGGCGGCCGUAACUAUAACGGUCCUAAGGUAGCGAAAUUCCUUGUCAGGUAAGUUCUGACCCGCACGAAUGGCGUAACGAUCUGGGCACUGUCUCAACAGCCUGCUCGGUGAAAUUGUAGAACUGGUGAAGAUGCCAGUUACCCGCGAUUAGACGGAAAGACCCCAUGGAGCUUUACUGCAGCUUGAUACUGGGUUUUGAUGAUAGAUGUACAGGAUAGGUGGGAGACUAGGAAGCACGGGCGUCAGCUUGUGUGGAGUCGCCGUUGGGAUACCACUCUUCUAUUAUUGGAAUUCUAACCUGUUCCCGUGAAUCCGGGAAGGGGACACUGUCAGGCAGGCAGUUUGACUGGGGCGGUCGCCUCCAAAAGAGUAACGGAGGCGUUCAAAGGUUGGCUCAGCAUGGACGGAAACCAUGCACAGAGUGUAAACGCGUAAGCCAGCCUAACUGCGAGAGAGACAUUUCGAGCAGUAACGAAAGUUGGAGUUAGUGAUCCGGUGGUAUGUGAGUGGAAAUGCCAUCGCUCAACGGAUAAAAGCUACCCUGGGGAUAACAGGCUGAUCUCCCCCAAGCGUUCACAGCGACGGGGAGGUUUGGCACCUCGAUGUCGGCUCAUCACAUCCUGGGGCUGAAUUCGGUCCCAAGGGUUCGGCUGUCCGCCGAUUAAAGUGGUACGCGAGCUGGGUUCAGAACGUCGUGAGACAGUUCGGUCCCUAUCUAUCGUGGGCGCAGGAUAUUUGAAAGGAGCUGUCCUUAGUACGAGAGGACCGGGAUGGACGCACCUCUGGUGCACCAGUUGUCACGCCAGUGGCAUAGCUGGGUAGCUAUGUGCGGAAGGGAUAAACGCUGAAAGCAUCUAAGCGUGAAGCCCCCCUUAAGAUAAGAUAUCCCAUAGCAUAAGCUAGUAAGACCCCAUAAAGACUAUGUGGUAAAUAGGUCGGAGAUGUAAGUGCAGUGAUGCAUUGAGUUGACCGAUACUAAUAGGUCGAGGGCUUAACCAA
rnacentral:rRNA from 1 species